rnacentral:rRNA from 1 species
CGAUCUCAUGCUGAGGUCAUUGUGCUAACCAAUUUGCCCGCGCCUCCGCAUAACCUUCGGGUUGCGUGGUGUGUGUGGGUCUUGGGGUCCCGGUGAUGGUAGGCAAGCGUGUUAACAGGGGUGACGCAGACAGGUAACUGCAGUGCGCCGAUGGUUGUGCGUAUUUAAGGUUGUGGCCCGCCCUUCAGGUAAAUCCGGGGGGCAUAAUGGGUGAGGACUGAUGAGGGACACACGCGUGUGUGGACUUGUGGUGAUCCUAUGCUGCCGAGAAAAGCCUCGACGUGAGGGCAUGACCUGCCCGUACCCUAAACCGACUCAGGUGGUCAGGUAGAGUAUACCGAGGCGUUCGAGUGAAUCGUGGUUAAGGAACUCGGCAAAAUUCCUCCGUAACUUCGGGAUAAGGAGGACCCCGUGACUUGCUCCCACCGUGCGUGGGUGUUGGGUUGUGGGGUCGCAGAGAAUAGGGAGAAGCGACUGUUUAUCAAAAACACAGGUGCGUGCGAAGCCGUAAGGCGAUGUAUACGCACUGACGCCUGCCCGGUGCUGGAAGGUUAAGAGGAACCGUUAACAUUCUUUGUGGGUGUGAAGCGGUGAAUUUAAGCCCCAGUAAACGGCGGUGGUAACUAUAACCAUCCUAAGGUAGCGAAAUUCCUUGUCGGGUAAGUUCCGACCUGCACGAAUGGCGUAACGACUUCUCCGCUGUCUCAACCGCGAACUCGGUGAAAUUGCAGUACGAGUAAAGAUGCUCGUUUCGCGCAGAAGGACGGAAAGACCCCGGGACCUUUACUAUAGCUUGGUAUUGGUGUUCGCUUGGACUUGUGUAGGAUAGGUGGGAGACUGUGAAGCUGCCGCGCCAGCGGUGGUGGAGUCGUCGUUGAAAUACCAUUCUGGUUCAAGCGGUCACCUCAACCUUGGCCCGUGAUCCGGGUUGGGGACAGUGCCUGGUGGGUAGUUUAACUGGGGCGGUUGCCUCCUAAAAUGUAACGGAGGCGCUCAAAGGUUCCCUCAGCCUGGUUGGUAAUCAGGUGGCGAGUGCAAGUGUACAAGGGAGCUUGACUGUGAGACCGACGGGUCGAGCAGGUGCGAAAGCAGGAACUAGUGAUCCGGCCAUGGCACGUGGGUGCGUGGUCGCUCAACGGAUAAAAGGUACCCCGGGGAUAACAGGCUGAUCUUGCCCAAGAGUCCAUAUCGACGGCAUGGUUUGGCACCUCGAUGUCGGCUCGUCGCAUCCUGGGGCUGGAGUCGGUCCCAAGGGUUGGGCUGUUCGCCCAUUAAAGCGGUACGCGAGCUGGGUUCAGAACGUCGUGAGACAGUUCGGUCCCUAUCCUCUGUGCGCGCAGGAAAUUUGAGGAGGGCCGUCCCUAGUACGAGAGGACCGGGAUGGACGAACCUCUGGUGUGCCAGUUGUACCGCCAGGUGCAUGGCUGGUUAGCUACGUUCGGAAGGGAUAACCGCUGAAAGCAUCUAAGCGGGAAGCCUGCUCCAAGAUGAGGUUUCCACGCCCCCCAGUGGGGUGAGAGGCCCCCGCCAGACGAGCGGGUUGAUAGGCCAGAGGUGGAAGCACCGCGAGGUGCUCGCGAGCCGACUGGUACUAAUGGGCCAACACUAAACAAC